UGAUCAGUGACAAUCAGAUUGAUGUGCAUGUUAAAAUAACUGUGGAUCCUGGUAUUUGUAGAAGCUCUAAGAAAAAACUGUAUUCUGAUAACCACCUAUUUACAUUUAUUAUAUGUUAUUACUAACUUCCUGUGUUGAUUGUAGCGACGAACAAAAGUGGCACAAAAUUAGUGACGCAUGAAUAGUACAACAGUAGUAACACAGUAUACAAACCUAACAUCACCUUACAUCAUAUUUGGUUCACUGAUAUUAUUGGAAAAACUGAGACUCUGCUAUUCUCUUGUUUAACAAAAAUGACAGUUCUACCAUUGUAUCAUGACUGGUUUCAUUUUUGUCUUUGUGGUUAAAAUGUGUUAACCACAUUCUCGUGCCUUUGCUGUCGGUGGCUUCUGUCAGUUUUUUCUUUAAAUGUCACAAGAGUAACUGAUGACCCUUAAUUCCUGUAAAGUGGGUCUGACCGACACUAUUUCUGUGGAAAGAAAAGCAAAAGGGCAGCUCACACACAUGAGAUGUAACAUUAGUGAACUAACACCAGUGAAUAUAAGCCAUUUGCAGCGUGUCGUCUCAAUGUGUUUUCAGCCCUGACUUGUACAGUAAAGCAACUCCUACUCCAUUCACCAGGCAGGGAUGGCAAGAUCAGCCUUAUCCAGAAACAGAGGACAGAUUUUUUUCAUCUUCUCUCUGCUGUCAUUGGUUUAUGUUGCAAAUUCACUGAGCAAUAAAGAACUUUUGAAACUCAAAGAACAACUUCGGAAACUAGAAGAAAGAGCAGCCAGAAUGAAGGCAGACUACGAGUACAGUAAAGCAACCAAUUCAAGAGAAUAUGAUGAAAAAAUAGAGCAGUUUUAUUCUAUUUAUGAACUAAUAAAGACAUCAUCAAUCGCAGAGGAUUUUCCACCAUUGCUGGAACUGAUGAACAAAUUUAGUCGCUUCAUUGACAAAUCUAGGGUUUGGUUUAAUGGGGCGGAAGAUCACAAUAAAGCAAGAAUGAAGGACAAUGAAAAGAAACUGGAAGAACUAAAGAACAUCAUCAAAUUUCUAGAGGAAAAACGAGAUGAACUCUAACGGUUUCUAUUUAAUAUUUUCAAAAUAAAUACAUGUUGUUUAGAUAUACUAUGUUUUCAUGAAAGAGGUGGACAUCAUUUAUUGCCUGAACUGUGAUUCAUUUUCAUUCAUUUAUACACUUUAAAUAAAAUCUGAAAUAUGAUGUAUUACCUGUGGAAAACUUGAUUCUAGGCCAACUCCUUUUUACUUCAUUUUAACAAUUUAUAUUGAUAGUACUGUGUUUUUUGUCAACUAAUUCUUAUUUACAAUUAUAUAUAAGUGACACAAUAUAUAAUAAUACUUCAUUCCUGAUUCUCUUCAACUUAACAUGUAAAACCUGCAGCAUUACUUUGAUUUGGUCCAAGCUGUGCUUAAUCACCAAAACUGGCACUGAAUUCAGGUCAGACUUAUUAAAGUUUACAUUAUUCUCCUGUCACUGUUAUCACCAUUCAACUGUCACAUUUCCGCUUUUCUCAAAUCUAGUCAGAAGGUUUCUGAUUAUAAAUAAUUGGAUAAAUGACAAAUUUCAUAUAUUGACAUAUCAA